rnacentral:rRNA from 1 species
UGGGGAAUUUUGGACAAUGGGCGCAAGCCUGAUCCAGCCAUGCCGCGUGCGGGAAGAAGGCCUCGGGUUGUAAACCGCUUUGUCAGGGAAGAAAUCUUCUGAGUUAAUACCUCGGGAGGAUGACGGUACCUGAAGAAUAAGCACCGGCUAACUACGUGCCAGCAGCCGCGGUAAUACGUAGGGUGCAAGCGUUAAUCGGAAUUACUGGGCGUAAAGCGUGCGCAGGCGGUUUUGUAAGACAGAGGUGAAAUCCCCGGGCUCAACCUGGGAACUGCCUUUGUGACUGCAAGGCUUGAGUGCGGCAGAGGGGGGAUGGAAUUCCGCGUGUAGCAGUGAAAAUGCGUAGAUAUGCGGAGGAACACCGAUGGCGAAGGCAAUCCCCUGGGCCUGCACUGACGCUCAUGCACGAAAGCGUGGGGAGCAAAACAGGAUUAGAUACCCUGGUAGUCACGCCCU